CCUACGGGAGGCAGCAGUGAGGAAUAUUGGUCAAUGGACGAGAGUCUGAACCAGCCAAGUAGCGUGAAGGAUGACUGCCCUAUGGGUUGUAAACUUCUUUUAUAAAGGAAUAAAACGAGGCACGUGUGCCUUUUUGCAUGUACGUUAUGAAUAAGGAUCGGCUAACUCCUUGCCAGCAGCCGCGGUAAUACGGAGGAUCCGAGCGUUAUCCGGAUUUCUUGGGUUUAAAGGUAACGUAGAUGGGUUGUUAAGUUAGUUGUGAAAGUUUGCGGCUCAACCGUAAAAUUGCAAGUGAUACUGGCAGUCUUGAGUACAGUUGAGGUAGGCGGAAUUCGUGGUGUAGCGGUGAAAUGCUUAGAUAUCACGAAGAACCCCGAUUGCGAAGGCAGCUUACUAAACUGUGACUGACAUUGAUGCUCGAAAGUGUGGGUAUCAAACAGGAUUAGAUACCCGAGUAGUC
rnacentral:rRNA from 1 species